GAUUAACGCUGGCGGCGUGCCUAACACAUGCAAGUCGAGCGGCAGCGAGUUUUACACUGAAUUCUGGAAGCUUCUAGUUGAAAGAGAAGAUUUAUUCAAGAAUUUUGUGUAAAAUGUCGGCGAGCGGCGGACGGCUGAGUAACGCGUGGGAACGUACCCCAAAGUGAGGGAUAACGCAUCGAAAGGUGUGCUAAUACCGCAUAUGGUCUUCGGAUUAAAGCCUUCGGGCGCUUUGGGAACGGCCUGCGUAAGAUUAGAUAGUUGGUGGGGUAAUGGCCUACCAAGUCGACGAUCUUUAACUGGUUUGAGAGGAUGAUCAGUCAGACUGGAACUGAGACACGGUCCAGACUCCUACGGGAGGCAGCAGUGAGGAAUCUUCCACAAUGGGCGAAAGCCUGAUGGAGCAACGCCGCGUGCAGGAUGAAGGCCUUCGGAUUGUAAACUGCUUUUAUAAGUGAGGAUUAUGACAGUAACUUAUGAAUAAGGAUCGGCUAACUACGUG
rnacentral:rRNA from 1 species